AAACGACUCUCGGCAACGGAUAUCUCGGCUCUCGCAUCGAUGAAGAACGUAGCGAAAUGCGAUACUUGGUGUGAAUUGCAGAAUCCCGUGAACCAUCGAGUCUUUGAACGCAAGUUGCGCCCAAAGCCAUUUGGUUAAGGGCACGUCUGCCUGGGCGUCACGCAU
rnacentral:rRNA from 1 species